rnacentral:rRNA from 1 species
AUUGAACGCUGGCGGCAUGCUUUACACAUGCAAGUCGAACGGUAACAGGCCGCAAGGUGCUGACGAGUGGCGAACGGGUGAGUAAUGCAUCGGAACGUGCCCAGUCGUGGGGGAUAACGCAGCGAAAGCUGCGCUAAUACCGCAUACGAUCUAUGGAUGAAAGCGGGGGACCGUAAGGCCUCGCGCGAUUGGAGCGGCCGAUGUCAGAUUAGGUAGUUGGUGGGGUAAAGGCUCACCAAGCCAACGAUCUGUAGCUGGUCUGAGAGGACGACCAGCCACACUGGGACUGAGACAAGGCCGAGACUCCUACGGGAGGCAGCAGUGGGGAAUUUUGGACAAUGGGCGCAAGCCUGAUCCAGCAAUGCCGCGUGCAGGAAGAAGGCCUUCGGGUUGUAAACUGCUUUUGUACGGAACGAAACGGUCCUGGUUAAUACCCGGGGCUAAUGACGGUACCGUAAGAAUAAGCACCGGCUAACUACGUGCCAGCCGCCGCGGUAACAC